rnacentral:rRNA from 1 species
CCCUUAGAUGUUCUGGGCCGCACGCGUGCUACACUGAGUAAAUCAAUGGGUAAGGGAACACGAAAGUGCAACCUAAUCUUGAAAUUUGCUCGUGAUGGGGAUCGACGGUUGCAAUUUUCCGUCGUGAACGAGGAAUACCUUGUAGGCGCGUGUCAUCAUCACGCGCCGAAUACGUCCCUGCCCUUUGUACACACCGCCCGUCGCUCCUACCGAUUGAGUGCUCAGGUGAGCCAUUCGGACUUUCAUCAUGCUGGUUUCCAGUUUUGAUGAAGGAAAGUCUUGCGAACCUUAUCAUUUAGAGGAAGGAGAAGUCGUAACA